GCCUGGGUGGCUUAGUCAGUUAAGCAUCAGAGUUCAGCUUAGAUCACGAACUUGUCAUUUGUGGGUUCAAGACCCACAUCAGGCU
rnacentral:tRNA from 1 species